UAGUGGCGAACGGGUGAGUAACACGUGGGCAAUCUGCCCUUCACUCUGGGACAAGCCCUGGAAACGGGGUCUAAUACCGGAUAACACCUGCCCGGGCAUCCGGGUGGGUUAAAAGCUCCGGCGGUGAAGGAUGAGCCCGCGGCCUAUCAGCUUGUUGGUGAGGUAGUGGCUCACCAAGGCGACGACGGGUAGCCGGCCUGAGAGGGCGACCGGCCACACUGGGACUGAGACACGGCCCAGACUCCUACGGGAGGCAGCAGUGGGGAAUAUUGCACAAUGGGCGAAAGCCUGAUGCAGCGACGCCGCGUGAGGGAUGACGGCCUUCGGGUUGUAAACCUCUUUCAGCAGGGAAGAAGCGAAAGUGACGGUACCUGCAGAAGAAGCGCCGGCUAACUACGUGCCAGCAGCCGCGGUAAUACGUAGGGCGCAAGCGUUGUCCGGAAUUAUUGGGCGUAAAGAGCUCGUAGGCGGCUUGUCACGUCGGGUGUGAAAGCCCGGGGCUUAACCCCGGGUCUGCAUUCGAUACGGGCUAGCUAGAGUGUGGUAGGGGAGAUCGGAAUUCCUGGUGUA
rnacentral:rRNA from 1 species